GAGGGUUCGAUUCUGGCUCAGAUUGAACGCUGGCGGGAUACAUAAUAUGCAAGUCGAACGGCAGCACGGACUUCGGUCUGGUGGCGAGUGGCGAACGGGUGAGUAAUGUAUCGGAACGUGCCUAGUAGCGGGGAUAACUACGCGAAAGCGUAGCCAAUACCGCACACGGGCCCUUCGGGGGAAAGCGGGGACCUUCGGGCCUCGCACUAGAGCGGCCGAUAUCGGAUUAGCUAGUUGGUGGGGCAACGGCUCACCAAGGCGACGAUCCGCAGCUGGUUUGAGAGGACGACCAGCCACACUGGGACUGGAGACACGGCCCAGACUCCUACGGGAGGCAGCAGUGGGGAAUUUUGGACAAUGGGGGAAACCUCCGAUCCAGCCAUCCCGCGUGCGAUGAAGGCCUUCGGGUUGUAAAGCACUUUUGGCAGGAAAGAAACGGCACGGAUAAUACCCCUCAGCAACUGACGGUACCUGCAGAAUAAGCACGGCUAACUACGGUGCCAGUACGCGGUAAUACGUAGGGUGCAAGCGUUAAUCGGACCAUUGGGCGUAAAGUGCGUAGGUGGUUCGGAAAGAAAGAUGUGAAAUCCCGCAGAGCUUAACUUUGAACUGCAUUUUUAACUACCGAGUCAGAGUGCGUCAGAGGGAGGUGGACCCGCGUGUAGCAGUGAAAUGCGUAGAUAUGCGGAGGAACACCGAUGGCGAAGGCAGCCUCCCUGGGAUAACACUGACGCUCAUGCACGAAAGCGUGGGGACAAACAGGAUUUAGAUACUUGGCAGGUAGUCCACGCCCCAAACGAUGUCAACUAGCCGUUGGGGCCUUCGGCCUUGGUAGCAGCUAACGCUAGUGAAGUUGACCGCCUGGGGAGUACGGACAAGAUUAAACCCAAAGGAAUUGAUUUAAGACCCGCACAAGCGGUGGAUGAUGUGGAUUAAUUCGAUGCAACGCGAAAACCUUACCUACCCUUGAUAUGUCUGAAUCCUGAAGAGAUUUUGGGGAGGUUCGCAAGAGAACCGGAACACAGGUGCUGCAUGGCUGUCGUCAGCUCGUGUCGUGAGAUGUUGGGUUGAGUCUGCAACGAGCGCAACCCUUUGUCAUUAGUUGCUACGAAAGGGCACUCUAUCGAGACUGCCGGUACAAAACCGGCGAAGGUGGGGAUGACGUCAAGUCCUCAGCGCCUUGUGGGUAGGGCUUCACACGUCAUACAAUGGUCGUACGAGGGUCGCCAACCCGCGAGGGGGAGCUAAUCCUAGAAACCCGAUCGUAGUCCGAUCGCAGUCUGCAACUCGACUGCGUGAAGUCGGAAUCGCUAGGCAAUCGCGGAUCAGCAUGUUGCAGAACAUGUUCCUGGUCUGCACACACCGCCCGUCACACCAUGGGAGUGGGUUUUACCAGAAGUAGUUAGCCUAACCGUAAGGAGGGCGAUUACCACGGUAGGAUUCAGAUCGGGGUGAAGUCGUAUCAAGGUAACCCUGUUACUACC
rnacentral:rRNA from 1 species